AUUGAACGCUGGCGGCAGGCCUAACACAUGCAAGUCGAACGGUAACAGGAAGAAGCUUGCUUCUUUGCUGACGAGUGGCGGACGGGUGAGUCAUGUCUGGGAAACUGCCUGAUGGAGGGGGAUAACUACUGGAAACGGUAGCUAAUACCGCAUAACGUCGCAAGACCAAAGAGGGGGACCUUCGGGCCUCUUGCCAUCGGAUGUGCCCAGAUGGGAUUGGCUUGUUGGUGGGGUAACGACUCCCCAAGGCGACGAUCCCUAGCUGGUCUGAGAGGAUGACCAGCCACACUGGAACUGAGACACGGUCCAGACUCCUACGGGAGGCAGCAGUGGGGAAUAUUGCACAAUGGGCGCAAGCCUGAUGCAGCCAUGCCGCGUGUAUGAAGAAGGCCUUCGGGUUGUAAAGUACUUUCAGCGGGGAGGAAGGGAGUAAAGUUAAUACCUUUGCUCAUUGACGUUACCCGCAGAAGAAGCACCGGCUAACUCCGUG
rnacentral:rRNA from 1 species